rnacentral:pre_miRNA from 1 species
AGUGGGAUAACUGGGUCAAAUUGUGGUUCCAUUACAAGUUUUCUGAGGAAUCUCCCAUACUGCUUUUCAAAGUGGUUGCACCAAUUUGCAGUCCCACCAGCAAU